UACGUAGGGGGCAAGCGUUGUCCGGAUUUAUUGGGCGUAAAGAGCGUGUAGGCGGCCAGGUAGGUCCGUUGUGAAAACUCGAGGCUCAACCUCGAGACGCCGAUGGAAACCAUCUGGCUAGAGUCCGGAAGAGGAGAGUGGAAUUCCCGGUGUAGCGGUGAAAUGCGCAGAUAUCGGGAAGAACACCCGUGGCUAAGGCGGCUCACUGGCCCGAUACUGACGCUGAGGCACGAAAGCGUGGGGAGCAAACAGG
rnacentral:rRNA from 1 species